GAUGAACGCUAGCGAUAGGCCUAACACAUGCAAGUCGAGGGGCAGCGGGGUAGCAAUACCGCCGGCGACCGGCGCACGGGUGAGUAACACGUAUGCAACCUACCCAUAACUGUGGGAUAGCCCGUCGAAAGACGGAUUAAUACCGCAUAACACAGGGGCUCCACAUGGAGAUAUUUGUUAAAGAUUUAUUGGUUAUGGAUGGGCAUGCGCAGGAUUAGGUAGUUGGUGAAGGUAACGGCUCACCAAGCCAUCGAUCCUUAGGGGAACUGAGAGGUUAAUCCCCCACACUGGUACUGAGACACGGACCAGACUCCUACGGGAGGCAGCAGUGAGGAAUAUUGGUCAAUGGACGAGAGUCUGAACCAGCCAAAUCGCGUGAAGGAAGACGGUAUUAUGUAUUGUAAACUUCUUUUAUCAGGGAAUAAAGUGCAGCACGUGUGCUGUUUUGUAUGUACCUGAUGAAUAAG
rnacentral:rRNA from 1 species